AGCUUUUUGAAUCCGUAUAGAGAUUCGAUCAGACACCAACCCAUAAGGGCUGAUCAGACUUCCAAGAUAAGUGAAGUU
rfam:Schistosoma rodhaini strain Burundi genome assembly, scaffold: SROB_scaffold0001696